CCAUGCCGCGUGAGUGAAGAAGGCCUUCGGGUUGUAAAGCUCUUUCGGCCGGAACGAAAUCGUCCGGGCUAAUACCCCGGAUGGAUGACGGUACCGGAAGAAGAAGCACCGGCUAACUACGUGCCAGCAGCCGCGGUAAUACGUAGGGUGCAGGCGUUAAUCGGAAUUACUGGGCGUAAAGCGUGCGCAGGCGGCUUCUCAAGUCAGAUGUGAAAUCCCCGGGCUUAACCUGGGAACUGCGUUUGAAACUGGGAGGCUAGAGUGUGGCAGAGGGGGGUGGAAUUCCACGUGUAGCAGUGAAAUGCGUAGAUAUGUGGAGGAACACCGAUGGCGAAGGCAGCCCCCUGGGCCUGCACUGACGCUCAUGCACGAAAGCGUGGGGAGCAAACAGGAUUAGAUACCCUGGUAGUCCACGCCCUAAACUAUGUCGACUAGUUGUUGGGGGAGUCUGUCCCUCAGUAACGUAGCUAACGCGUGAAGUCGACCGCCUGGGGAGUACGGUCGCAAGAUUA
rnacentral:rRNA from 1 species